rnacentral:snRNA from 1 species
GUAGGAGCUUAGGCUCCCAAA